rnacentral:rRNA from 1 species
UACGGGGGGGGCAAGGGUUGUUCGGAAUUACUGGGCGUAAAGGGCUCGUAGGUGGCCAACUAAGUCAGACGUGAAAUCCCUCGGCUUAACCGGGGAACUGCGUCUGAUACUGGAUGGCUUGAGUUUGGGAGAGGGAUGCGGAAUUCCAGGUGUAGCGGUGAAAUGCGUAGAUAUCUGGAGGAACACCGGUGGCGAAGGCGGCAUCCUGGACCAACACUGACACUGAGGAGCGAAAGCCAGGGGAGCAAACGGG